AGCCAUUGACAUAUAACAAAGAAAGGUUUCAUGCAUAUAAUAUAUAUAUAUAUCAAUACAGGAAAUCCACAUACUCAACUAAAAGCACGUACACUCACGAGCUUCCCUUACAGAAGUGAACCCCCUACAAAGCAUCCAUGGGCCACGGGAAGCCACCUAUUAGUCCAAGCAUCCAACGACCUCACCAUAUUUUAAAUAACAAUCGCCUCAUGCAGCUUAUUCCAUCAUAGCAUACGAUACAAACCGCCAAAGCUUCGACAUAUCCGAGAGGAAUACAUCGAGCAUCAGCGGUGGCCGCCCAGGGUUUUGCCAUGGCCAACACCGGGGCCAUGCCCAGGGUUAGUAGGCAGGUUAUCUCCAGCCAGGUUAUCAACGUAUAGAGCCUUGAAAUUGGUGCAUGGGUGUUUCAUCUUGAUAGGAGAGCACUUGGGAGAUAUUGGUGCAAGCCUUUCCAGCAUCCUCGAGCUAGUUGGAUGGAAGAGAUACAUGAGGAGAAUGACCGUUGUUAGAGCUGCCCUGAGAGAGAGGUUCCUCGCAACUACGGCCAUUGGUUUUACGAACGAUUGAAGGAGAGGUUAUGGAAGGAAUGGGAGAG
rnacentral:lncRNA from 1 species